rnacentral:rRNA from 1 species
AAAAGCACUUUGGAAAGAGAGUUAAACAGUACGUGAAAUUGAAAGGGAAACGCUUGAAGUCAGUCGCGUUAGCCGGAACUCAGCCUUGCCUUCCGCUCGGUGUAUUUUCCGGUUGACGGGCCAGCAUCGAUUUCGACCGCUGGAUAAGGGCUAGGGGAAUGUGGCACCUUCGGGUGUGUUAUAGCCUCUGGUCGUAUACAGUGGUCGGGAUCG